rnacentral:rRNA from 1 species
GACGAACGCUGGCGGCGUGCCUAAUACAUGCAAGUAGAACGCUGAAGAGAGGAGCUUGCUCUUCUUGGAUGAGUUGCGAACGGGUGAGUAACGCGUAGGUAACCUGCCUUGUAGCGGGGGAUAACUAUUGGAAACGAUAGCUAAUACCGCAUAACAAUGGAUGACACAUGUCAUUUAUUUGAAAGGGGCAAUUGCUCCACUACAAGAUGGACCUGCGUUGUAUUAGCUAGUAGGUGAGGUAAUGGCUCACCUAGGCGACGAUACAUAGCCGACCUGAGAGGGUGAUCGGCCACACUGGGACUGAGACACGGCCCAGACUCCUACGGGAGGCAGCAGUAGGGAAUCUUCGGCAAUGGGGGCAACCCUGACCGAGCAACGCCGCGUGAGUGAAGAGGGGUUUCGGAUCGUAAAGCUCUGUUGUAAGUCAAGAACGGGUGUGAGAGUGGAAAGUUCACACUGUGACGGUAGCUUACCAGAAAGGGACGGCUAACUACGUG